UACGUAGGGUGCAAGCGUUGUCCGGAAUUAUUGGGCGUAAAGAGCUCGUAGGCGGUCUGUCGCGUCGGCUGUGAAAACCCGGAGCUCAACUCCGGGCCUGCAGUCGAUACGGGCAGACUGGAGUUCGGCAGGGGAGACUGGAAUUCCUGGUGUAGCGGUGAAAUGCGCAGAUAUCAGGAGGAACACCGGUGGCGAAGGCGGGUCUCUGGGCAUGUCCUGACGCUGAGGAGCGAAAGUGUGGGGAGCGAACAGG
rnacentral:rRNA from 1 species